rnacentral:rRNA from 1 species
UUACCUUAAAGAACCUGCCUUUGUAGUGCUCACACAGAUUGUCUGAUGAAANGCCAUCAGAUGUGCCCAGAUGGGAUUAGCUAGUAGGUGGGGUAACGGCUCACCUAGGCGACGAUCCCUAGCUGGUCUGAGAGGAUGACCAGCCACACUGGAACUGAGACACGGUCCAGACUCCUACGGGAGGCAGCAGUGGGGAAUAUUGCACAAUGGGCGCAAGCCUGAUGCAGCCAUGCCGCGUGUGUGAAGAAGGCCUUCGGGUUGUAAAGCACUUUCAGCGGGGAGGAAGGCGUUAAGGUUAAUAACCUUGGCGAUUGACGUUACCCGCAGAAGAAGCACCGGCUAACUCCGUGCCAGCAGCCGCGGUAAUACGGAGGGUGCAAGCGUUAAUCGGAAUUACUGGGCGUAAAGCGCACGCAGGCGGUCUGUCAAGUCGGAUGUGAAAUCCCCGGGCUCAACCUGGGAACUGCAUUCGAAACUGGCAGGCUAGAGUCUUGUAGAGGGGGGUAGAAUUCCAGGUGUAGCGGUGAAAUGCGUAGAGAUCUGGAGGAAUACCGGUGGCGAAGGCGGCCCCCUGGACAAAGACUGACGCUCAGGUGCGAAAGCGUGGGGAGCAAACAGGAUUAGAUACCCUGGUAGUCCACGCCGUAAACGAUGUCGAUUUGGAGGUUGUGCCCUUGAGGCGUGGCUUCCGGAGCUAACGCGUUAAAUCGACCGCCUGGGGAGUACGGCCGCAAGGUUAAAACUCAAAUGAAUUGACGGGGGCCCGCACAAGCGGUGGAGCAUGUGGUUUAAUUCGAUGCAACGCGAAGAACCUUACCUGGUCUUGACAUCCACAGAACUUUCCAGAGAUGGAUUGGUGCCUUCGGGAACUGUGAGACAGGUGCUGCAUGGCUGUCGUCAGCUCGUGUUGUGAAAUGUUGGGUUAAGUCCCGCAACGAGCGCAACCCUUAUCCUUUGUUGCCAGCGGUCCGGCCGGGAACUCAAAGGAGACUGCCAGUGAUAAACUGGAGGAAGGUGGGGAUGACGUCAAGUCAUCAUGGCCCUUACGACCAGGGCUACACACGUGCUACAAUGGCAUAUACAAAGAGAAGCGACCUCGCGAGAGCAAGCGGACCUCAUAAAGUAUGUCGUAGUCCGGAUUGGAGUCUGCAACUCGACUCCAUGAAGUCGGAAUCGCUAGUAAUCGUAGAUCAGAAUGCUACGGUGAAUACGUUCCCGGGCCUUGUACACACCGCCCGUCACACCAUGGGAGUGGGUUGCAAAAGAAGUAGGUAGCUUAACCUUCGGGAGGGCGCUUACCACUUUGUGAUUCAUGACUGGGGUGAAGUCGUAACAAGGUAACCGUAGGGGAACCUGCGGUUGGAUCACCU